AUGAAGGUGGAUACUUUUUUGUGUCAACUCAUUAUACAAACAAAUCUCCAUCUCCUUGAGAAAGAUCUCACUCACUAAAUUUUUCUUUUUCGUUGUUGACAGAUUCAAGGAUUAUGUUCCCGCGAAAUAUAAGUCUUUCUAUGAGCGAUACUUGUUGGCUAAUCAUGAAGCACAAGUACCUGACAACAACGUUCCAAGAGAAUUAUAAUUUGUCUAUCCGUGAUGGAUAAAGUUCAGUUUUAUUGCACUAUUUAUCUGCAAAGGGGAUUCAAGUAGCAUGUGGUCUCUGCAGCCUACCUGGUGCUAAAGAUGGAGUUCGAGCUGCCACAGGUGAACGAGCAAGAAUUUGAGAUGCAAAAUUUCAAUUCCGUUCACAAAGCAGAGUUGAGGUAUUGUGCUUAUACGCCCAUCUCUUCAUUGUAAAAGUUAUUUUGCAUCGAUAGAAUGUUUUUCAGAUGUAUCAUUGUUUCAAACAAGAAACAAUAUUAGAUUGUGAUGUAUUUCAUAAAUCCUGUAUAUUAAGCCUAAUUGCCAUUGAAGAGGUUCUUAGCAGUUAUUUCACCCACUUGAAUAAAUUAAGAAAUAGGAACUCUUUUUAA